rnacentral:rRNA from 1 species
UACAGAGGUGGCAAGCGUUGUUCGGAAUUACUGGGCGUAAAGGGCGAGUAGGCGGCCUUCUAAGUCAGACGUGAAAUCCCCCGGCUUAACCUGGGAACUGCGUCUGAUACUGGGAGGCUCGAGUAUGGGAGAGGGAUGUAGAAUUCCAGGUGUAGCGGUGAAAUGCGUAGAUAUCUGGAGGAAUACCGGUGGCGAAGGCGGCAUCCUGGACCAUUACUGACGCUGAAUCGCGAAAGCUAGGGGAGCAAACGGGG